CCUACGGGUGGCAGCAGUGAGGAAUAUUGGUCAAUGGGCGCGAGCCUGAACCAGCCAAGUAGCGUGAAGGAUGACUGCCCUAUGGGUUGUAAACUUCUUUUAUAAAGGAAUAAAGUGAGGCACGUGUGCCUUUUUGUAUGUACUUUAUGAAUAAGGAUCGGCUAACUCCGUGCCAGCAGCCGCGGUAAUACGGAGGAUCCGAGCGUUAUCCGGAUUUAUUGGGUUUAAAGGGAGCGUAGGUGGGUUGUUAAGUCAGUUGUGAAAGUUUGCGGCUCAACCGUAAAAUUGCAGUUGAUACUGGCAGCCUUGAGUACAGUAGAGGUAGGCGGAAUUCGUGGUGUAGCGGUGAAAUGCUUAGAUAUCACGAAGAACUCCGAUUGCGAAGGCAGCUUACUAGACUGCAACUGACGUUGAUGCUCGAAAGUGUGGGUAUCAAACAGGAUUAGAUACCCUAGUAGUC
rnacentral:rRNA from 1 species